rnacentral:rRNA from 1 species
UUGGAGGGCAAGUCUGGUGCCAGCAGCCGCGGUAAUUCCAGCUCCAAUAGCGUAUAUUAAAGUUGUUGCAGUUAAAAAGCUCGUAGUUGAACUUCGGGGUUCACCCAUUGGUCAGGCUUAAUUGUCUGCACUGGUGAGAUGAGUCUCUACCUUCUGAGGAACUUUCAUGCCAUUAAUUUGGUGUGAUUGGAAAUCAGGACUGUUACUUUGAAAAAAUUAGAGUGUUUAAAGCAGGCUAACGUCUGAAUACAUUAGCAUGGAAUAAUGAAAUAGGACGGACUGAUUCUAUUUCGUUGGUUUCUAGGAUCACCGUAAUGAUUAAUAGGGAUAGUUGGGGGCAUUAGUAUUCAAUUGUCAGAGGUGAAAUUCUUGGAUUUAUUGAAGACUAACUACUGCGAAAGCAUUUGCCAAGGAUGUUUUCAUUAAUCAAGAACGAAAGUUAGGGGAUCGAAGACGAUCAGAUACCGUCGUAGUCUUAACCAUAAACUAUGCCGACUAGGGAUCGGACGAAGUUAAUUUUAUAAUGACGCGUUCGGCGCCUUACGGGAAAC